GGUUAUUUUGGACGCGUUGUUGCAAUGGUUUCGGCGAGAUCUUGAUUGUGAACGCUAGCUUUUUGUCGGUGAUUGGAGGAUGAAUUCUGCUUCUUCCUAAAUCCGAAAAAACUGAGAACUCUCUUUACACCCUGCUUUUUCUGAAACUACUAUUCUUGAACUAUUGUUCUUAUGUAUAGAGAUUUAGCUACGGUUUUGCUUGUUGAAUAUGGCUUUUCUUUCACGGGACUGUUUUCCUGAUUAUUCAGGCGAGAUGUAGAAUCUGAACGCAUGCUUUCUGUUGGUGAUUGGAGGAUGAAUUCUGCUUUUGCCUGGAUCAGAAGAAACCGAGAACCCUAUUACCCUUGCUUUUUUAUUCCCUGAACCUUCUUUUCUUCGACUUUUCUUAUCAUAAUCAUUAUGUAGAGGGAUUCAGCUUCGGUUUUGCUUGCUUUGCAGUGCAUUUGGGAGGUUGGAGAGUUGUAGAUAGGAGAUAUUGGAAGAAUUUACUGAUAUAAUCGACACGGACGACAAGAUAUCUAAUUCCUUAAAACAGAACAGAUUCUUUACUUUUAUCCGUUUUUUAAGAUUCAAUUAUAAAUUAUAAUCAUGCAUGUGAAGUAAAAUGUGAAUUAUAUUCUAUGCAGCGUUUGUCCACCUUGAAGCGUGGUUGAGUGCGACACAUGCGGAGGAUAGAGAACACGAACAGUUUUUCUAAAUUUUCUUUCCCUGCAUUUUCUUUCCCAA